rnacentral:rRNA from 1 species
CACAAGCGGUGGAGCAUGUGGUUUAAUUCGACGCAACGCGAAGAACCUUACCAGCUCUUGACAUGUCAGGUCGGUUUCCAGAGAUGGAUUCCUCCCAGCAAUGGGCCUGAACACAGGUGCUGCAUGGCUGUCGUCAGCUCGUGUCGUGAGAUGUUGGGUUAAGUCCCGCAACGAGCGCAACCCCCGCCUUCAGUUGCCAACGGUUCGGCCGUGCACUCUGGAGGAACUGCCUGUGACAAGCAGGAGGAAGGUGGGGAUGACGUCAAGUCCUCAUGGCCCUUAUGGGCUGGGCUACACACGUGCUACAAUGGCGGUGACAGAGGGAUGCAAUACCGCGAGGUGGAGCAAAUCCCUAAAAGCCGUCUCAGUUCGGAUUGUUCUCUGCAACUCGAGAGCAUGAAGUUGGAAUCGCUAGUAAUCGCGGAUCAGCUCGCCGCGGUGAAUACGUUCCCGGGCCUU